GGCCACAAUACGUUGAAAUACCGGUUCCCGUACGCUCACAGAAACUAAGCAAAGCCGAGCCUGGUCAGUACCUAGAUGGGUGACCGCUAGUGAAUACCACGUGCUGUAGG